rnacentral:tRNA from 1 species
UGGAUUUUUCCUCUUUAGA